rnacentral:rRNA from 1 species
CCUCCUGCGGAACCUGGCGCUCUUCACUGGGCGCCACGGGGAAGCAGGACAUUUACUUUGAAAAAAUUAGAGUGCUCCAGGCAGGCCUAUGCUCGAAUACAUUAGCAUGGAAUAAUAAAAUAGGACGCGCGGUUCUAUUUUGUUGGUUUCUAGGACCGCCGUAAUGAUUAAUAGGGACAGUCGGGGGCAUCAGUAUUCAAGCGUCAGAGGUGAAAUUCUUGGACCGCUUGAAGACUACCUACUGCGAAAGCAUUUGCCAAGGAUGUUUUCAUUAAUCAGGAACGAAAGUUAGGGGAUCGAAGACGAUCAGAUACCGUCGUAGUCUUAACCAUAAACUAUGCCGACUAGGGAUCCGACGGUGUUAUUCAUUGACCCGUUGGGCACCUUACGAGAAAUCAAAGUGCUUGGGCUCCAGGGGGAGUAUGGUCGCAAGGCUGAAACUUAAAGAAAUUGACGGAAGGGCACCACCAGGGGUGGAGCCUGCGGCUUAAUUUGACUCAACACGGGGAAACUCACCAGGUCCAGACACAAUGAGGAUUGACAGAUUGAGAGCUCUUUCU